UUCAUGUUUAUACCUGGAAUAAUUUUUAGUUUUUUUUAGGAAUUUGACCUGAGGAGUGACUGCUUUUGGGAGUAAAAUCAUUUUCCCAUUCUAAUGAACUUGGAUAUGGUUUGCUUAUAUGAUUUUAUAUAGUCCUAAUGCAGCCAUGAAACAUGUGUAGUU